ensembl:lncRNA
GUUAAGCCUUCAAUGUCUUGUUUAUAUAACUAAGUUCAUGUAACUGCCAAAGUUUAGAGGCAGUUUCCCAAGAGAGUGAACAGUGUUUAGAGUUGUUUGUUAUUGUUGUUUUAUUCUUAUUUUAUGCAGUCAUUUGUGUGAAGUUAGCUCUGUCACAAUUAGAAUAUGAGUGAAUUGAAUCUUGGCUAAGACAAGUUUUUUCUCUGUAAUGUUUGACUGACACAAUCUGAAAGUUAGAUGGAAAAAAGCUUCAGAGCACAGUUAUUACUUUAAAGUGUUUCGUUUUACAGGCAGAAAUGAACCAAACGCAGACCUUUGACCACUUUUGCAUUUGCGCAAAAGGUUUUGGGUGGAGUACUACUUUUUUUUCACGCACGCUCAUUCAAAGGAGUUUUAGAAUGUAUCUUCACUGUUAAAUGUUCUUAUUAAUCUUAUUUUAAUAAACAACACUGUCAUACACAAAACUAGGGUGGCACUAGGGGUGUAAGCAUAGCUGGACUGGCCAUCGGUGGGCCGCUGGCGAUUUUUUGUUUUUAUGGGCCAAUGGAUUUUUUUAAAUUUUUUUUUAGGAAGGGUAUAUAUAAUGAAAGGUGUUAGAUUGGCCAAUUGGUCAUGAUCGACUCUGGGCUGGACCAAUUACAGCCGAGGAGGCCGGAUGCGCCCUCCCCCCUGUUUAGCAAUCACGUGAUUUUCGCGCAUUGCAUGCCGGGAACUCGUGGCAAAACAAUCCAAGUACCGCAUCAAAUGCAAGCGUUUGCAGCACCGCAAAACGUUCAUUCUCCGGUUCCAAUACCUUCUUGUUUUUCUUUGCCGCACAAAAAAGGAAUGUACAGAACAAAAGGAGAACAAUGCCGGUCCGUACAAAGACAGACUCGACGAAAAGACAAAGAAAAGAUACGAGGAAAAAUCAAAGGAGUGAAAGGGUCAGACCCUUACGAGCACACAGAGGGACAAAAGACGUUAGCGUGCUGCCCAACUUUCACCACGCUCAUAUUUAUAAUUAUACGGUUCUUGGAGUGAGUGCAUACACUCAUGAAGUUUAGUAACUUCAGGUCACUGCAACAAGCCCAGGUACAGUUUACCGACGGAUGGGUACAGGACCUUGAAAUGCACCGUGUAGAACGAAAGACCAUAGAGCUGGGCGAUAUGAGAUUUUUUCAUAUCACGAUAUGUUUUUUUCAUUUCAGGCGAUAACGAUAUCUAUCACGAUAUAAGCCAAAUAACUAUAUUUGUAAGAUUUAAAUGUGCCGUUGCUCACAAGUAAAAU